rnacentral:rRNA from 1 species
UGAAUACGAAAUGCUACGGCAUUGAAGUGAUCUAUGCCAUGCUUCCAAGAAAAUCUCGUCAUAUCUUAAACAAUAGAUGCCUGUACCUUAAACCGACACAGGUAGGUAGGUAGAGUAUACCAAGGGGCGCGAGAUAACUCUCUCUAAGGAACUCGGCAAAAUAACCUCGUAACUUCGGAAGAAGAGGUACCCUUGAAAAAGGGUUGCAAUAACCAGACCCUGGCGACUGUUUACCAAAAACACAGGUCUCCGCUAAUUCGUAAGAUCAAGUAUGGAGGCUGACGCCUGCCCAGUGCCGGAAGGUUAAAGAAGUUGGUCAAUCUUUGGAUGAAGCUGGCGACUGAAGCCCCGGUGAACGGCGGCCGUAACUAUAACGGUCCUAAGGUAGCGAAGUUCCUUGUCGGGUAAGUUCCGACCCGCACGAAAGGCGUAACGAUCAGGGUGCUGUCUCGGAGAGAGACUCGGCGAAAUAGACAUGUCUGUGAAGAUGCGGACUACCUGCACCUGGACAGAAAGACCCUAUGAAGCUUUACUGUAUCUUGGAAUUGGGUUUGGGCCUUGCUUGCGCAGGAUAGGUGGGAGGCUAUGAAAAUAUUCUUGCGGGAAUGUUGGAGCCAACGGUGAGAUACCACUCUAGUAAGGCUAAAAUUCUAACUCUGAACCGUUAUCCGGUCAGAGAACAGUUUCAGGUGGGCAGUUUGACUGGGGCGGUCGCCUCCUAAAAGGUAACGGAGGCGCGCAAAGGUUCCCUCAGGCUGGUUGGACAUCAGUCGUAGAGUGUAAAGGCAUAAGGGAGCUUGACUGCGAGACCCACAAGUCGAGCAGAGACGAAAGUCGGCCUUAGUGAUCCGACGGUUCCACGUGGAAGGGCCGUCGCUCAACGGAUAAAAGUUACUCUAAGGAUAACAGGCUGAUCUCCCCCAAGAGUUCACAUCGACGGGGAGGUUUGGCACCUCGAUGUCGGCUCAUCGCAUCCUGGGGCGGUAGUACGUCCCAAGGGUUGGGCUGUUCGCCCAUGAAAGCGGUACGCGAGCUGGGUUAGAACGUCGUGAGACAGUUCGGUCCAUAUCCGGUGCAGGCGUUAGAGCAUUGAAAGGAGUCCCCCUUAGUACGAGAGGACCGGGGGGAAUACACCGCUGGUGUACCAGUUAUCGUGCCAACGGUAAACGCUGGGUAGCCAUGUGUAGCGUGGAUAACUGCUGAAAGCAUCUAAGUAGGAAGCCCACCUUAAGAUGAGUGCUCUCACCGCUAUAAGCGGGUAAGGUCACGGUAAGAACAACCGUUAUAUAGGCAUUAAGUAUACGUGCAGUAAUGCAUUUAGCUAAGAUGUACUAACAGACCGAGGGC